AGAGGUUACUGCUAUCGGUGUUCGACUAAGCCAUGCGAGUCAAAUGUUCUUCGUGAACAUGGCGGACUGCUCAGUAACACGUGGAUAACCUGCCCUUAGGUUCGGCAUAACUCCGGGAAACUGGAGAUAAUUCCGAAUAGGUCAAAUAUGCUGGAAUGCUUUUUGGCCAAAAGACCUCGGUUGCCUAAGGAUGGAUCUGCGGUCUAUCAGGUUGUAGUGGGUGUAACGUACCUACUAGCCUACGACGGAUAUGGGUUGUGAGAGCAAGAGCCCAGAGAUGGAUUCUGAGACAUGAAUCCAGGCCCUACGGGGCGCAGCAGGCGCGAAAACUUUACAAUGCGGGAAACCGCGAUAAGGGGACACCGAGUGCCAGCAUUUAUGUUGGCUGUCCACAUGUGUAAACGGCAUGUGUUAGC
rnacentral:rRNA from 1 species